CAGUCGCCGCGGGAAUACGUAGGGUGCAAGCGUUGUCCGGAAUUAUUGGGCGUAAAGAGCUCGUAGGCGGUUUGUCGCGUCUGCUGUGAAAUCUGGGGGCUCAACCCCCAGCCUGCAGUGGGUACGGGCAGACUAGAGUGCGGUAGGGGAGAUUGGAAUUCCUGGUGUAGCGGUGGAAUGCGCAGAUAUCAGGAGGAACACCGAUGGCGAAGGCAGAUCUCUGGGCCGUAACUGACGCUGAGGAGCGAAAGCAUGGGGAGCGAACAGGAUUAGAUACCCCUGUAGUCCCUGUCUCUUAUAC
rnacentral:rRNA from 1 species